rnacentral:tRNA from 1 species
GGCAGAGUGCCAGAGUGGUUAAUGGGUGUGACUCGAAUCCGGAUCGCAAUCACAUGGCUUCGGCCGCAUGAGUUCAAAUCUCAUCUCUGUCG